AGCAGCCGCGGUAAUUCCAGCUCCAAUAGCGUAUAUUAAAGUUGCUGCAGUUAAAAAGCUCGUAGUUGAAUUUCGGGACCGAUAUAUCGGUCGUGCCUCGGUACGUACUGGUAUUUUCGGUUUCUACCUUCUGACGAACCUUGAUGUCAUUAAUUUGGUGUCUUGGGGAAUCAGGACUGUUACUUUGAAAAAAUUAGAGUGUUUAAAGCAGGCUCACGCUUGAAUACAUUAGCAUGGAAUAAUGAAAUAGGACGUUUGAUUCUAUUUUGUUGGUUUCUAGGAUCGACGUAAUGAUUAAUAGGGAUAGUUGGGGGCAUUAGUAUUCAAUUGUCAGAGGUGAAAUUCUUGGAUUUAUUGAAGACUAACUACUGCGAAAGCAUUUGCCAAGGAUGUUUUCAUUAAUCAAGAACGAAAGUUAGGGGAUCGAAGACGAUCAGAUACCGUCGUAGUCUUAACCAUAAACUAUGCCGACUAGGGAUCGGAUGAUGUAAUUUUUAAUGACUCAUUCGGCGCCUUACGG
rnacentral:rRNA from 1 species